GGCCACGUCUGUCCGAGAGUCGG
rnacentral:rRNA from 1 species